GGGAUUAACACUGAAGAGGAAUCUGAAAGGCUUCACAGACCUCACCAAUCCCCAGCAGCACACAGACGCAGCCAUCAACAUUGGCAUGGAAGAGCUCAAAGCCAGGUUUGGUGGUUUACUGAAGGAUGAAGGUGCCCAGACCCCAGUGGAGUCUUUCAGAGUGCUAAAUACUGACACAUGGCCAGAGGACCAGGCCAGCCUUCUCUCUUUUGGUGAGGUGGCAGACCUGAUCAGUGUGCAACAUGGUUGCAAUGCAGGAUGAGUGGCAGGGGCUGAAAAUCCUGAUCAGCCACAAUUUCAAGGACAAGACCUACAUUGGCCUGACCUACAGUGACCAUGUUGACAAAGGACCCCUACAGGAUAGAUUACAAGAACAUACUGGAAUUGGUGUAGAUUACGCUGAUGCUGCCCAUUUAAGCCGCUCAAUGUGAGCGAGGGAUCUCUACGCAGAACCGCAUUAAGAAUUCAGCAAGAAGCUCUCUUUGGGUCUCCACCACCGAAGACCUGAUGAGGAUCAGCCUGGAGGGGCCUUCUGUCGAGGAGUUUGAUCCUACUCCUGUCGUGGACUGCUCGCUGACCUUUAAGCCUUCCAGACGGCCAGCAUACAAAAGCUGGACAAACGAUAUCCUUUGCAUCUAGGCCAAUGUGUGAUUUUGCAUGAGUAGUAUGUAUGAAAUAAAUCAUUUGUUUAAUAAACUUUUU
ensembl:lncRNA